rnacentral:rRNA from 1 species
UACGGGGGGGGCAAGCGUUGUUCGGAAUUACUGGGCGUAAAGGGCUCGUAGGCGGCCAACUAAGUCGGAUGUGAAAUCCCCAGGCUUAACCUGGGAACUGCAUCCGAUACUGGAUGGCUUGAAUCCGGGAGAGGGAUGCAGAAUUCCAGGUGUAGCGGUGAAAUGCGUAGAUAUCAGGAGGAACACCGGUGGCGAAGGCGGGUCUCUGGGCAGUAACUGACGCUGAGGAACGAAAGCGUGGGUAGCAAACAGG